GCCACGGACAUCGAGGACACAGAGUCUAAGCCACUGGAGAGAAAGGGUGAACUCGUCAGAUCUUAUGAUUUUUUUAUUAAAGUUUAAAAUCUUUUUUUUUUAUUGUUCCGCUAACCUCGAACCUUGGCUGAAAUGGUAUGAUAUUGAUAAUUAAACUAAACAUACAUCUACGCCUAGGUACUAAUUUUAACCGAACCCACGUCCCUGUUUAAAAGAAAAUCAUGUUGUUUUUUUUUCGGAAUAUCUAAAGAUCUGUUAAAAAAAAGACGUCAAAAUACGAUUAUCUUGAUCGCUAAUCGCUACCGCUAUUAUAAUAAUAGGUACCUAUACUGCAAUUGUGUGCUUACUGUGACAUAAUGGCACAGUUGAAAUGACUUCACUACCGUUGCUAGGACACACCCAAGAUUAGAGAUUAUUAUUGAAAGUUAUAAAGUUUAUGACUAUAUAACCUGUCUAAGCGGACCUCAAUGGUGCGGUAUGGUCGCCGUUCUCGUUGUCAUGCUCUAUGACACGGUAAGUAAACAAAUGUGCCAGCAUCAAAGGUGUCAACUAAGCAGCUAUUGCGUGUAUGGAAGGUAGAGGCAUGUUAUAAUUCUAUUAUGCCUCUACCUUCCAUAAUUGCGUGUGUUAGAAUACAGCGUACAUCAUUACAUAUUUUAUUAUUAGUACGGACUAAUAAUAAAAUAUGCAUAUACAAAUAUGCAGUAGUUUGUGUUUCUUUGGUUGGUUGGAUAAGUAUUCUACUGAACACCGUUUAUCGUGACUUCUCUUCUAGAACUAUGAAAAAAUUACCGCGUCUUAUCCAACCUCGACAUUGGCGGAAUCAUCAUGCCAUCAAGCAAAAUUUGGUUGAUUGAUAUUGUGUAGUGACUAAGUGCAUCAGCAACAAAAAAAGAUGUUUGACAGCAGCGUAACAAAAUGCGGUAAGUGUUUCCCAUGCAACUAUCUGACUUGGUUUCAUUUAACAUUCUUGUUACCAAUCCUACUUUUUAGGGUUCCGUCAACUAACGUGAAACAUGUAUUUCAGACACUUUUAUAUUUUUUAAUUGCAUUUACACUUUCAAAUCUUAUUAAUGGAUAUUAUUAUGUUUCUCAGACCAUGGGGAGCUUAAACAUCUCCAAAGUUAAUGUAUUAACCGUGGAGACUAUACGUCUCUGUAAUAUUGUAUAAUAUAAUUGACUUGUUGGAUACAUACUAGUUAUGUAUUCUGUAGCAUUAGUUUACGUGACUGCUAGCUUAACAGUCUAGACGCGAUUUAUUUAUUUAGUAUACAGUGUGUUACCGUCAUGCGGGCAUUUAUUAAAACUGAUAAUCAUAAUUAUGAUUAAUUAGCAAUUGUUUGCAAAUCAUAAUUAUGUGAAUUAACUGCUCAGUUAAAUUUCUGAAAUCCGCACAGUCAAUGUAGUGGGGCGUAAUCGUCUUUAAUCAUAUCGUUAAUGCACUUGGUACAAGGCAUGCCGUGGUACGGGGGUAAAAAACUAAGACAUUGCGUUCAUGUAUGGAGGUGUUACAUACAUAAAACAUUUAUUAAACAGUUUUUUAUAAACUUUGACAUGACAAUUUCAAGUGUUGACGUCGCGUUGUCAAAAUAAACCAAAAAUGACCAAAACUGGUAUUUGAUUUUCUUUAAAAUACCUUAUUAGUGGCUUACGUUACGAUUCCCGAGAGUAGUUGAAACACGUGGAAAUGCAGCUCAAGGCUUUAUCGGAAACGCUUCCUAAAUUGAAGACAUCCACACAAUGCUCGAUUGAUAACCGCGGCUCUUCAGCGAGUUCGUGAGAACAGGCCAAUCGCCCGGUCAGCCUGAAAGGGCCAUGAACGGGAUCGUGCCAGUGCAAGUUGAAAAAAGGAUUCUCGAGCACUUCAGACAGGGCGACCGGAUGGAGGCGGCGCGGUGCCACUGCUGCCAUCUAUGGGGAUCAUCAACGAGGAUAUUAUUCCAGUCUAUUUCACAAAGUGCGGCUUUGAAUGACAUAAUAUUGGAUACAUUAAAAUGUCUUUUCUGUUUAUGAAUUGGGGUAUUUGGAGGACUAGUACUUUGUUUAAACGAAUACAAUAUACUUUUGUGGUCGGAAAUACCUAAAUCUUCUACUUUUAUGUCAAAAAAAAAUUAUUUGUGAAAAUAAAAUCUAUACAAGUCGAACUUAAAUUAGUUUCUCUGGUGGGCUGGUCUACUAUCUGAUGGAGGUUAUAUUCUAGCAUAAUAUUCUUUAUUCUACGAUAAUUAUAACAACUUUCAUUAUUAUUUAUAUUAAAAUCUCCUGGUAAUAUAA